rnacentral:rRNA from 1 species
UGCGUAGACGGUAUGUUAAGUUUGUUGUUAAAGGCUCCGGCCUAACUGGAGUAUUGCGAUGAAAACUGGCGUGCUAGAGGGUGAGAGAGAAGUGGAAUUCCCGGAGUAGCGGUAAAAUGCGUGGAUCUCGGGAGGAACACCAAUGGCGAAGGCAGCUUCUUGGCUCAUUUCCUGACGUUGAGGCACGAAAGCGUGGGGGAGAAC